rnacentral:rRNA from 1 species
AACGAACGCUGGCGGCAUGCCUAACACAUGCAAGUCGAACGAGACCUUCGGGUCUAGUGGCGCACGGGUGCGUAACGCGUGGGAACCUGCCCUUAGGUUCGGAAUAACUCCCCGAAAGGGGUGCUAAUGCCGGAUAAUGUCUUCGGACCAAAGAUUUAUCGCCGUUGGAUGGGCCCGCGUUGGAUUAGCUAGUUGGUAGGGUAAAAGCCUACCAAGGCGACGAUCCAUAGCUGGUCUGAGAGGAUGAUCAGCCACACUGGGACUGAGACACGGCCCAGACUCCUACGGGAGGCAGCAGUGGGGAAUAUUGGACAAUGGGCGAAAGCCUGAUCCAGCAAUGCCGCGUGAGUGAUGAAGGCCUUAGGGUUGUAAAGCUCUUUUACCCGGGAUGAUAAUGACAGUACCGGGAGAAUAAGCUCCGGCUAACUCCGUG